rnacentral:rRNA from 1 species
UUUAUGGAGAGUUUGAUCCUGGCUCAGGAUGAACGCUGGCGGCGUGCCUAAUACAUGCAAGUCGAGCGAACAGAUAA